CGUCUCGCACAUCGCGCAGACCCGCGAACUGCUCGGCAAGGGCGGCGCGGUGGGACGCCGGCUCGAUUUCCUGGCGCAGGAGUUCAACCGCGAGGUCAACACCACCUGCUCGAAGUCGAACGAUAUCGAACUGACCAACACCGGGCUUGAGAUGAAGGGCGUGGUCGAGCAGUUUCGCGAACAGGUUCAGAAUCUGGAGUAAGCGGCCAUGGCGGCGGGGGGCACCUUGAGAGGCGUUGAGCGGCGCGGACUGAUGUUCGUGCUGUCGUCGCCGUCGGGAGCGGGGAAAUCCACGCUGGCGCGCAUGCUGAUCGACAAGAUGCCGGAUCUGCGCAUGUCGGUGUCGGUGACCACGCGCGCCAAGCGGCCGGGCGAGGUCGAUGGCGAACAUUACUAUU
rnacentral:misc_RNA from 1 species